rnacentral:rRNA from 1 species
ACGGAAGGCAGCAGUGAGGAAUAUUGGUCAAUGGGCGAGAGCCUGAACCAGCCAAGUAGCGUGCAGGAUGACGGCCCUAUGGGUUGUAAACUGCUUUUAUGUGGGAAUAAAGGAGCCUACGCGUAGGCUUUUGCAUGUACCGUUCGAAUAAGCAUCGGCUAAUUCCGUGCCAGCAGCCGCGGUAAUACGGAAGAUGCGAGCGUUAUCCGGAUUUAUUGGGUUUAAAGGGAGCGUAGGCGGCCUUUUAAGUCAGCGGUCAAAUGUCAGCGCCCAACGCUGGCCUGCCGUUGAUACUGAUGGGCUUGAAUACACACAAGGAAGGUGGAAUUCGUCGUGUAGCGGUGAAAUGCUUAGAUAUGACGAAGAACUCCGAUUGCGAAGGCAGCCUUCUGGAGUGCGAUUGACGCUGAGGCUCGAAAGCGCGGGUAUCAAACAGGAUUAGAUACCCUGGUA